GAGGGUAGAGCUCAGUGGUAGAGCACAUGCUUAGCAUGCACGAGGUCCUGGGUUCAAUCCCCAGUACCUCCU
rnacentral:tRNA from 1 species